rnacentral:rRNA from 1 species
UACGGGGGGGGCAAGCGUUGUUCGGAAUUAUUGGGCGUAAAGCGCGUGUAGGCGGCUUUGCAAGUCGGGUGUGAAAGCCCUGGGCUCAACCCAGGAAGUGCAUUCGAAACUAGCAGACUUGAAUACGGGAGAGGGUCGCGGAAUUCCCGGUGUAAAGGUGAAAUUCGUAGAUAUCGGGAGGAACACCAGUGGCGAAGGCGGCGACCUGGACCGAUACUGACGCUGAGACACGAAAGCGUGGGGAGCAAACAGG